UACGUAGGGCGCAGCGUUAUCCGGAAUUAUGGUGCGUAAAGAGCUCGUAGGCGGUUUGUCGCGUCUGCCGUGAAAGUCCGGGGCUCAACUCCGGAUCUGCGGUGGGUACGGGCAGACUAGAGUGAUGUAGGGGAGACUGGAAUUCCUGGUGUAGCGGUGAAAUGCGCAGAUAUCAGGAGGAACACCGGUGGCGAAGGCGGUUCUCUGGGCCUUACCUGACGCUGAGGAGCGAAAGCGUGGGGAGCGAACAGG
rnacentral:rRNA from 1 species